CGUGUCACAGGAAAGGCUGUCCAGCCUUUCCUGUGACACGGGUGUCACAGGAAAGGCUGGACUCAGCCUUUCCUGUGACACGGUGCACAGAGGCUGAAUCCAGCCUUUCCUGUGACA